ensembl:lncRNA
GACGGUUUAAAAAUACAAAUACUCUGUGUGGAGACAACUUGUAAGUGUCAAGCUUCUUUUAAUUGCUUUAGAUCUAGUGUUAUUGGGUCUGACUGUGUCCUUCUACACUACUCUACACACCCCGUCGGACUCGCUCCCUUUCUCUCGCUCUGUCUUCUAACAAACUAUUUAUCUCUUCAAGAUUCGAAGUGCUAUGUUGGCAUGGAAAAUGUACAUUUCUCUCUCUCAGCCUCUCUGGUUUUAUUCACUGAGAUGGUGUGCUGGAGAUCAGGCUGGGGCAGGUCUAGCCUGGUGGAGGUUUGCGAGGAGCGGACGACCGUUGGAGGGGCAGGGUCAUCAGGAGGUCAAUAUACACUUCCUGUGGCCGGGUCGAGGAGCCAGCACGGUGGUUCCUGGGUGUGACGAAUUGUAUACGAACAACCAACAAAACCGGCAUGUUCGGAUCUCUGCGUCUCCAUCAGUCCAUUGAUUGCCACACAUGUCCACGUCAUGCCUGUCCACGUCAGGCCUGUCACGAGGGGGAGAUGAAGCAUGCCCCCCCCCCCAUCUUGUCAUGCUGCCUUCCUCAGCGAUGGAUGGAUGGACCCCCUCAUCCACGUUCCGCCGGGAACCCCCUGAAGGUGAUUCCUUCCGGACUUACACGUAUGUUGAAGAGCAGAGCAUACCCCGGUCUCCUUGGAACCGUACAGGCUCCGACGGGAAGAGAAU